UUUCAGUAAAAGAGAAUUAAUGACAACUCUGCAUAUCCCACAUCCUGAAAUUCAAGACUUGCUCUUCAACUUCUGUUGGAUUGACACAUUUUAUUUUGGACCUGCCAAAUUGUCAACGACUCACCUCUCUGCCCUAGGCCUUUCUUUGAUUCUGUUAAUCCCACAGAAACAGAAGCUUCAGGACAUCCAAAGACUGAGAGCAGGCAAAGACCCUUUGUCCCGGUCUAAGACAAAGCUAAGCAAUUUCCAAACAUAGCCCAACCACUUCCAGCCUUCUGCCCAAGAUGAAGGUCAUGGAGGUUUGCCCAUACCAGUGGGAAAUGUGGAGCUGGGACCCAAGGACAUCUUCUCAGCCAGCCACCGUGCAUGUGACUUCCCUGGUUGAUCCAGCCAACUGCAGGACCAAGAUAUUUCUAGUGCAAGAUAGGAGAGAUGAGUAAUAGAGACCACAGCCCUUGGAAACCUUGAUCAAGUAGAAUAAGAACACCUUCCUCAGCUCUCUUUGCAAGUGGCCAAAGCUUAGUGGCUCUGGGAGAAAAAUUCAACAGGAAAACCUACAGAAGUGCCUUGAGAAAGGACCACAGUAGCCUCUUCUAAGCCAAAUUGAGUAAAUAAAAAUGAGUGCUAUUAAAAUAUCCAAUUAAUCUAAAC
rnacentral:lncRNA from 1 species